rnacentral:rRNA from 1 species
CAGUCGCCGCGGUAAUACGUAGGGUGCGAGCGUUAAUCGGAAUUACUGGGCGUAAAGGGUGCGUAGGCGGCUUGACAAGUCUUGUGUGAAAUCUAUGGGCUCAACCCAUAGUCUGCACGGGAAACUGUCGGGCUUGAGAAUGGGAGAGGUGAGUGGAAUUUCCGGUGUAGCGGUGAAAUGCGUAGAUAUUGGGAAGAACACCAGUGGCGAAGGCGGCUCACUGGACCGACACUGACGCUGAGGCGCGAAAGCGUGGGGAGCAAACAGGAUUAGAUACCCCCGUAGUCCCUGUCUCUUAUAA